AUCCUAUUUUAUUUUUUCUGUCCUUCUGUGCAGAGUUCACUUGUAGAUCAAGCUGCGCUUCGUCCACAAAAUCACAACUCCAUUUCUCCGAAAUACCUACGAUCCAGAUCUGUCUGUUCUCAAGACCGAAAGUUGGCACACACUCGAUCAAGGUUCUACUUGCAAAAUUUCGAUAAAAUACAAGCAAGACGAUGGCAACAGAAGCGAUGAUUACUGUCUUAUUAAAUUCAGUGUUACGUGCAU